ensembl:antisense Gm13112 predicted gene 13112
AUAGGGACCCUGCUGAGUGUUCUGCCCCCUCCCCCCCCAACCCCAUCUCUGUCUCAUUUCUGUCUCUUGACUCUAGCCCAAAGCGACCCAGGGUCUGCUAGGCUGACCCUGUCCAGGAUGCCAGCCCACGGAACGGUGCCACCCACAUCCAGGGUGGUUCCUCCGUCUUUGGUUGAACCUUUCUGGAAAUACCAGAUUGCCAACACCCUCAGAGACGUAUCUCCGUCCGAGGUGAUCCCAAAUCCAGUUCCUAGGUUUGAGCUCAGGUCCUGUGCUUGUACAAGAAUCACCUUACUGACUGAAGUGUUACUCUGCCCAGUUACUGAGUUCUUACAAGAAAAACUAGGGCACUGAACAAGAACUGGACUCUGAAACCUGGAAUGGGCACAUCUGAAUGGGCUGAGGUCGCUGUCCUCUGCAGGGUGCUGCAGCACCCGGUCCAGGUCCCUGAGUGCCCUGUCAUACUCCCGCAGCUGGGUCAAGCAGGCCACCCGGAGACGCAGAUGCGGUCUGUGAAGGGGACACAGGGAAAGAGCUCAGAGUUAAGUCUCUGGACAUAGUCAGCCUCUGCUGGUGUCUGGUCCCCUCCCUGUGCAGAAGACACCCACACUCUGGAGGCCCUGUCAUGGGUAGGGGUAAGGGGCUGGUUUCCUCCUGUGACUGAGGGCUGCGGCUGGCCCAGCAUGUCCACCUCCCCAUAGUCCCUGAAGGCAACGUUGUUUCCCCGAGCAGAGGCAGGUUUGCACCCAAAGUUGCUAAGCAUCUUCAUCUCCCUUCCCUGAUCCUGUUUCUCUAGGCCACUAUGAAGGCAGGCAACUUCAUCUCAUCAUAAAUUCGUUAGACUCACAGAAUUCCUCCUCUGCUCAAUAAUAACCUACAACAGUUCCACAGAACCUGAGAUGGGCCUCUGGGUCCCUCCCUCCCCCUUUUAACUGCAUCCAGUCUCACAGCAUACACCACCAUAAACUCUAAAGCCUUCAGAGGCAGGUAAAGCUCCGAGCAUCGCGGGCCGAGUCACUCCUAUAGGGGACAAACACCACAGAUGUUUUUGCUAGGAGGGCUGAAGGGUUCUGGGGGCCUAUAGGGAGAGGACCUGUUUUCUAGCAUGGAUUGCAGUGCCAUCUCCGGACACUAGACUGAAGGCUCCCAUGGAGGACUCAAGGCUCUGAGGCUCGCACAUGAGCACCCGCUUUUCUUGUUCCCUGCUGUGUGACCCUGCCAGAGCCUCUUGCCCUCCUUGCUGCAUGGUCCACGUGGCUGCUGGAUACAGAUAGAAGGGAUUCAGAAGCU